AUGAGAGGGGACCUCCGCGAGGCUCCGAGCGGCACCACCGCAGCAGCUGCAGCCGCCGCCGUCGCGCUGCAGCUGGGCUCGUCCGACCGCGCGCCUCCGAGGAUGGACCAGCCGCCGAAUGGCUUCGCCGCCGGAGGUCUUUUCGUUCAGCACAUUGAUGGGCAAAACGCUUCUCCCCCUUCUGUAAUUGUGAUUGGUGGAGGGAUUUCAGGCAUUGCAUCUGCUCGUGCCUUGUCAAAUGCUUCAUUUAAGGUCACAUUGUUAGAGUCGCGGGAGCGACUUGGUGGCCGUGUGCAUACUGACUAUUCUUUUGGCUGCCCAAUUGACAUGGGAGCAUCUUGGUUGCAUGGUGUUUGCAACGAGAAUUCUUUGGCGCCAUUGAUUAGGCUUCUUGGGCUUAGAUUAUAUCGCACCAGUGGUGAUAACUCUGUGCUUUAUGACCAUGAUUUGGAGAGCUACACGCUCUUUGAUAAAGAUGGCCGUCAAAUUCCCCAGGAGAUAGUAACCAAAGUUGGGGAAAUAUUUGAGCAGAUUCUGAAGGAGACGGUGAAAGUUAGAGAUGAGUAUGCAAACGACAUGCCUCUUGUUCAAGCCAUCUCAAUGGUGCUUGACAGAAAUCCACAUCUAAAGCUUGAGGGUUUGCAAUAUGAAGUAUUGCAGUGGUGCAUUUGUAGAUUGGAAGCAUGGUUUGCCACAGACGUGGAUAAUAUAUCUUUGAAAAAUUGGGAUCAGGAACAUGUUCUUACUGGUGGACAUGGGCUUAUGGUGAAUGGCUACGACCCUGUUAUCAAAGCUCUCUCACGAGAUCUUGAUGUCCACCUGAACCACAGGGUUACCAAAAUCAUCCAGCGGUAUAAUAAAGUCAUCGUAUGCGUGGAAGACGGUACAAGCUUUGUUGCCGAUGCGGCUAUAAUAACCGUCCCUCUCGGUGUACUCAAGGCGAACAUCAUCAAGUUUGAACCCGAGCUCCCAGACUGGAAACUGUCGGCAAUCUCUGAUCUUGGUGUCGGCCUCGAGAACAAGAUAGCCCUGCGGUUCAACACUGUAUUCUGGCCCAAUGUAGAGGUACUGGGCAGGGUUGCCCAGACAUCGAAUGCGUGCGGCUACUUUCUUAACCUUCACAAAGCCACAGGGCAUCCAGUCCUUGUAUGCAUGGUGGCGGGCAGAUUCGCAUACGAAAUGGAGAAGCUAUCAGACGAAGAAUCCGUAAACUUUGUCAUGUCACAGCUCAGGAGAAUGCUGCCAGGGGCCACCGAGCCGGUCCAGUAUCUGGUUUCACGGUGGGGAACCGACCCCAACUCGCUCGGCUCCUACUCGUGCGACUUGGUCGGGAAACCGGCCGAUUUGUAUGAGCGAUUCUGCGCUCCGGUGGGUAACCUGUUCUUCGCCGGGGAGGCCGCCUGCAUCGACCACUCCGGGUCCGUGCACGGAGCGUAUUCGUCAGGUAUCGACGCUGCGGAGGACUGCCGAAGGCGCCUCUCGACGCAGCUCGGUAUCUCCGACCUGUUCCAGGUGGGGAAGAUUGUGAUGAGGGAGGAGAUGGCUGAAGUCAUGGUCCCCCUCCAGAUAUCCAGGCUGUGA
rnacentral:rRNA from 1 species